GGCCUCGUAGCUCAGUUGGUAGAGCAGAGGACUGAAAAUCCUUGUGUCGGUGGUUCGAUUCCGCCCNNGGCCA
rnacentral:tRNA from 1 species